GCUGGGGUAGCUCAGUCGGUAGAGCAUCUGCAUGGUAAGCAGAAGGUCGUGGGUUCAACUCCCAUCCCCAGCU
rnacentral:tRNA from 1 species